rnacentral:ncRNA from 2 species
GUGAUAAAAAAAUAAAAUGCUGAUAUAUGUUAGUAUUAUGGACUAAUGUUUCUACAUCUUACCGUCAUUAAGAUACUAUAGGGCAUAAUUUUUUUUGU